rnacentral:rRNA from 1 species
GACGAACGCUGGCGGCGUGCUUAACACAUGCAAGUCGAACGGAAAGGCCCUGCUUUUGUGGGGUGCUCGAGUGGCGAACGGGUGAGUAACACGUGAGUAACCUGCCCUUGACUUUGGGAUAACUUCAGGAAACUGGGGCUAAUACCGGAUAGGAGCUCCUGCUGCAUGGUGGGGGUUGGAAAGUUUCGGCGGUUGGGGAUGGACUCGCGGCUUAUCAGCUUGUUGGUGGGGUAGUGGCUUACCAAGGCUUUGACGGGUAGCCGGCCUGAGAGGGUGACCGGCCACAUUGGGACUGAGCUACGGCCCAGCCUCCUACGGGAGGCAGCAGUGGGGAAUAUUGCACAAUGGGCUGAAGCCUGAUGCAGCAACGCCGCGUGCGGGAUGACGGCCUUCGGGUUGUAAACCGCUUUCGCCUGUGACGAAGCGUGAGUGACGGUAAUGGGUAAAGAAGCACCGGCUAACUACGUG